UCAUGCCAGCUUGGUGUGUAUGAGUGCCACUUAUUGUACGCCAGGUCUGCAGCUGCAAAUAAAACAAUUUUGCCAAGGGAAUGGUCGUGUACGUUCUGUUGAAAGAAGACGAAGGGGCCAUUUAAGGGCUGGGAUUUUACCUCUAAUACAGACGGCUAGGAUGAGAGGGGUUGGGGCUGUUCUCCAAGCUUGCUUGGCUAUAUAAGCAAGCUAAGAACAAACAGAAAAGGAGGAAGAGAGGAAGACAAAGAGCGAGCAUAGAAAAAAAAACAGAAGAGAAAAUCAUCUCCAAUCUAUCUUGUAUUGUCAAAAAGAGUUCACCAAACCUACGGGUUUGCUAGAAGCUCUUAACGGCAAAAAGAGGAAGGUUUUCUUUAGUUGUCAAAGGCAGAGAAGCAAAGGUUUUCACCCCUGUCUGCACCGCAUUUUCUACAGUCAGCAUACGAAGAUGUUCAGUCUUUUCAUUUGAACAAAAGGUUUGUGCUUGCCCACUUUUACUUCCAUGAUUUUUUUUUUGAUCGUUUGUUGACGUUAAAGCUGUGUUUUUUUUUUUCUUGACCUGUUAUUGUGAGAGACUGCGAACUUGAAGGAUCCUCAUUAUCCUUCCAUUCCUUUGUCUGAAUGUCUGCGUUAGAAUGUUGCGUAGGAUGAGUUUUGGCUCCUAAAUGAAACUCUGUCUAGAUGGGAAAGAGAAAACGAGAGAGGGUUAUCUUGCAUUUGAGGAGAUACUUUGGCUGGUUCUGGAGUAUGUCUCUCAUUUCGCUGCUUUGAAAGUGAAUAGUUGGCCAUUUGAUUUGCUGGCUCUGGUUUUAGUGUCUUUGAUAUACACUGUAUAAAGGUACCCUCUUUAAGUUCUUUCCUUCUCGUAUGAAACCACCAUGGCAGUGCUAGGGAUUAGAAAAAAGGUGGGCUAGAGCAACACUUUAUGUGGUACCCUUGGUUUUCAAAUGUUUAGCUUUCAGAAGUAAAUGACUUGCUCCUCUUUGUCGUAAAUGAUGGGUCAUGCUAUGUUUAGGAUUUGAGUCGAAAGGCUGGUUUAGCCUUCCAGUUCCGAUGGCUGUAAGAGACCGUAGGUUUUAAAGGGGUUGUCGCCAUCCCUGCCUUCCUUUGGUUUGAGCGUCUCUAUGCAACUGGAAUAUUGCAGGGGAAUAGUUAUGGCUUAUAGGUGCAUAAGGAAGAGUAGAAAACGUGAGGGAAAUUCCUUUUUCAGGCAAGGUGAUUAAUUUUCUUUGCAGACCGUUAGGUCACGUUUUCCCUUUACAAGAUAGCUGGCCGCUGGCUUUUUUUAGCUUUGUCUUUAAUACAUGGUAUAAAAGCAUACUCCCUCAGGUUUCUUUAUUUUCACAAGCAUGACAGAUUUAAUUAGGAUACCAGAGGAUGGGUUGUGAGGCACCGAAACUAGCAUAGGAUGUUGAGUUCAAAAACAUUACUUUUGUAGUUUGGAGUUCUGCUACUAAUCUUCAUGGAAUUUUGGAGUUCAAAAUGUUACUACCACUACACCUAAAUGCAAAAUGUUACAUUUUUAGGAUAAUAGCGAUUAAUCAUUUUUUAGUUCAAAAAUGGUAGUUUCAGGACUUUACCCCAUGUGACAGUUUGUUCUUAUAAAUUUGUUUUGCUAACUUCGGGCUGGAUGUUUGCAUUUAAUUGUUG
rnacentral:lncRNA from 1 species